AUACGAUGAAGAGUUUGAUCCUGGCUCAGGAUGAACGCUAGCGGCAGGCUUAACACAUGCAAGUCGAGGGGUAUAGGUCUUCGGUUUUUGAGACCGGCGCACGGGUGCGUAACGCGUAUGCAAUCUGCCUUCCACAGAGGGAUAGCCCAGAGAAAUUUGGAUUAAUACCUCAUAGUAUAAUGAGUUGGCAUCAACACAUUAUUAAAGUCACAACGGUGGAAGAUGAGCAUGCGUCCCAUUAGCUAGUUGGCAGGGUAACGGCCUACCAAGGC
rnacentral:rRNA from 1 species